GUCCGUGUGGCGAAAUGGUCAACGCACCGGUCUCCUAGCUCGGAGAAAACCGGAGAUUGCGGGUUCAAGUCCCGUCACGGAUG